rnacentral:rRNA from 1 species
CUUUCAACAACGGAUCUGGCGGUUCUCGCAUCGAUGAAGUUCACAGCGAUGUGCGAGGAGUAGUGUGAAUUGCAGAACUCAGUGAAUCAUCUCUAGAUUGAACGCACAUUGCGCCUUCCGGUAUUCCGGAAGGCAAGCCUGUCCGAGCGUCAUCA